CAAAUAUAUUGAGCUCUAAUUAGAUCGAACAACCCAGACCAUUCAAGAAGGAUCGAGGUUGAGACCCGCGUGCGCGACCCGGAAACCCGGAAAGAGGAUCCAACCGGCGCCCCACCUUCCGGUCAUCUCCCGGUGGCAGACCACCUACAUUCAAACCCUCUCCUUAGCGCCGAUGUUCUCUUGUGCGGUGGAUUAACCAAUCGGCGACGAACGGCGAUGGUACGACGUCCAGAAGCCGCUGCAAUUUCCGGCGAUUAUCCUUCAAUUUCCGGCAAUGAUACAGCAGUGUACUGGUAUCAUUUGAAUCCUCUCGUCAUCACCGACCUUUCUGUGCUCUUAGAUCGUUCAUGCAUUAGCUGUAGAGAGAGAAUCGACAUUCGGAAGCUUUGACAGCUUCGAUGAGUUUUCCAGCGAAGCCGGCGACGGAGUGAGCUGCAUGUGGUACGAAAAUUUAUCCCCUCCUUAUGCUCUACAUGAUUAUGUAAUUGGUUUUCAAAUUUGGUUGGGUUUUGAUGAAUUGGUUUGUGGGUUGGUUUUGAGUUCGACGCUGUCACCGAUGCCGGCGACUUUUCCGGCUCUUCUUGGUCCGUUUCUGACUUGACCGCUUCCGUAGGCGAGGGCUAACCACAAUUCGGGAAGCCUGUUGGGCCAAAUUGAUGAUUUUGGGUUAUGUUGAGUUUUGGUGGAAAUGACGCUAUUGAUGAAGUGUUGAGAAAGUGAAGGAAAAGGGGAGAAGUUCUUCUGCUGUCAUGUUCUUCGUUAAGAACAUUGGACUGCCAAUUUGGACUCUGCUUUUGAUUUAAUCUGAUAUCAAGGUUAGUUGGGUUCAGUUCAAAGUUCUGAGCAGUGCCUUGUUUAGUUAGGUUAUGGAAUUUGUUGGUUUGUAUGCUUACUGUGAAAUUGUGUUAUGAUAAUGAUGAGUAGAGAUCGAUGUGAUUUCAUUCUUGGUUGGUGGCUAUGACAAUUGAACAGCAUGUUACGAUUAAGUUGGAUUUGCAAGCUCGACGUUUUAUCAAUGUUGCCAAGGCAGCUUGUUAUUGAAUAUUGUUCUUCUUGGUUGUGAAGUUGGACUUUUGACAAUUGUUGUGAAGUGAUAAGUAAAGAAAAUGAACUAAUAUAUUGGGUGACCUUAGUAAAUUCGGAUUAGCCCAAUUAUCGAUCUUGUAAAUGUUGGUCAAACUUGGUCAACUCCUGGUCAAACUAGGAAAAGUUGGUUUGACGAUUUGUUAAUCGUUGAGAUUUCAAUUAUUUGUUCGAUAAACUAUUAAUAAUCAAUAUGUCGAAAAUUAGGAUUCAAUUACUCAAGGAGCGGAAGGUUCAUGAUUCUCGGACAACGUUAAAGGUUAGAGUAUCGGAAUCCAGAUAGGGGACUUAGGACUCACUCGGUUAGUUGUUUUCAUUUAUAGUUAAACGUUAAUGCAUAUUUGAGUUGCAUGACUUGGUUUAUUAAAUAUAUCAUAUGGUAACCAUUUUUUUUUUUUUGAUAUAUUAUUGAUGGCCUGAGAGUGAAAGGAACAUAGCGAUUCCCUGGGCUUUGAUCCCCUAAACCUCUGGAGGGGCCGUAUGGACGGAAUCAUAUUCGACAUCCCCUGAGGUGUGGCACUAUUUCUAGGUAAUAUGGCGUAAGUGGAAACUCUCACUACACUUACCUAGUGAUGACUUUAUUUGAGGUAAGGCCAUGUAGUUGGUCCAUGAGAUCGGCGAUCAGGUACUAUAUAUUCAUUUGAGUUUCGUGGAUUGGAUUUUGAGUCUGAAAAAUAUUUUAAGUUUGUUGUUCUAUAAAUGAAAUGAUUUGAGUACGUUUUCAUACUGGGUACCCAAAAAUUAUAUUUUAUGUGUCGGUUUUCAAACCUAGUCGGGUGAAGCCCCUAUUGAGCACCGAGGAUGAAAGCUCACCCCUACAACAGUGUGGAUGCAGGUACUGUGCACUGGUAACGGGACUGGAGCAGAGGGAGCUGGGUGUGCAGAUUUCAAUAGUAUAUCUUAAUGGAAAUCAAGUUCCGAGUUCCAAUCUUAUUCUUGUUCCUUAAAGUUGUAUUUUUGGAACUUGUCAAAAUUUGUUUGUUGUAAGCUAAGUCCAUUAUUUCUCGAUUGAUUGCAACGUCAAGUCCUAGAUGACCAUUUGAAUUUAAAGUCUUAGAAAUGUUUUCACCUUAAA